rnacentral:tRNA from 1 species
GCCUGGUUGGCUCAGUCGGUUGGGCGUCCAACUUCGGUCCAGGUCAUGAUCUCACAGUUCGUGGGUUCGAGCCCCGCAUCAGGCU